GACGAACGCUGGCGGCGUGCCUAAUACAUGCAAGUAGAACGCUGAAGGAGGAGCUUGCUUCUCUGGAUGAGUUGCGAACGGGUGAGUAACGCGUAGGUAACCUGCCUGGUAGCGGGGGAUAACUAUUGGAAACGAUAGCUAAUACCGCAUAAGAGUAGAUGUUGCAUGACAUUUGCUUAAAAGGUGCAAUUGCAUCACUACCAGAUGGACCUGCGUUGUAUUAGCUAGUUGGUGAGGUAACGGCUCACCAAGGCGACGAUACAUAGCCGACCUGAGAGGGUGAUCGGCCACACUGGGACUGAGACACGGCCCAGACUCCUACGGGAGGCAGCAGUAGGGAAUCUUCGGCAAUGGACGGAAGUCUGACCGAGCAACGCCGCGUGAGUGAAGAAGGUUUUCGGAUCGUAAAGCUCUGUUGUAAGAGAAGAACGAGUGUGAGAGUGGAAAGUUCACACUGUGACGGUAGCUUACCAGAAAGGGACGGCUAACUACGUG
rnacentral:rRNA from 1 species